GCAUGGUGUGUGGGUGGAAAGUUUUUCGGCUGGGGAUGGGCUCGCGGCCUAUCAGCUUGUUGGUGGGGUGAUGGCCUACCAAGGCGACGACGGGUAGCCGGCCUGAGAGGGCGACCGGCCACACUGGGACUGAGACACGGCCCAGACUCCUACGGGAGGCAGCAGUGGGGAAUAUUGCACAAUGGGCGAAAGCCUGAUGCAGCGACGCCGCGUGAGGGAUGACGGCCUUCGGGUUGUAAACCUCUUUCAGCUCCGAAGAAGCGCAAGUGACGGUAGGAGCAGAAGAAGCACCGGCUAACUACGUGCCAGCAGCCGCGGUAAUACGUAGGGUGCAAGCGUUGUCCGGAAUUAUUGGGCGUAAAGAGCUCGUAGGCGGUGUGUCGCGUCUGCUGUGAAAACUCAGGGCUCAACUCUGAGCUUGCAGUGGGUACGGGCACACUAGAGUGCUGUAGGGGAGACUGGAAUUCCUGGUGUAGCGGUGAAAUGCGCAGAUAUCAGGAGGAACACCGGUGGCGAAGGCGGGUCUCUGGGCAGUUACUGACGCUGAGGAGCGAAAGCAUGGGGAGCGAACAGGAUUAGAUACCCUGGUAGUCCAUGCCGUAAACGUUGGGCGCUAGGUGUGGGGUCCAUUCCACGGAUUCCGUGCCGCAGCU
rnacentral:rRNA from 1 species